rnacentral:lncRNA from 1 species
ACGUCCAUUCAGCCGUUAUCGAUUCUUUGUACUGUUGGUUUAUAAGUAGAAAGUAGCCGUUGGUCAUGUCGGCUAAUUUCAGGGAUUAUUGUUAAUACAGAUGCUGAUAGUUUAUGAAUACAAGAAUUGAUUAGACAAUACGAGGAUUAAAAUAUUACUUUAAUAAUAAUCAAUAAAUAGAAAAAUGUUUUCAAAUGCAAAAAAGGUGAAGACACCAGCUUUAAUCAAAAAUGAAGAAAGAUGAAAGGACUCGUCUAAAGAAUCAACGAAAUUAUAAAUAAAUUUUCAAUCAACUAUUAUUUAAGCAUUAUCUGUAUAUUUGUAUUAAGCACUUUUAUACAUCAUUUUUAAGCGAAUUAUAUAUUGUCUAAUUGAAUGUAUUUCACCGUGUAAUCUUAUUAAAAAGAUAAUUAUAAUUAAUAAUAAAUUAUU